GAUGAACGCUAGCGGCAGGCUUAACACAUGCAAGUCGAGGGGCAGCGCGAUGUAGCAAUACAUUGGCGGCGACCGGCGCACGGGUGCGUAACACGUAUGGAACUUACCCUUUACUGGGAGAUAGCCCGGAGAAAUCCGGAUUAAUAUCCCAUAAUAAACGAAGUGGCAUCACUUUGUUUGAAAGCUCCGGCGGUAAAGGAUGGCCAUGCGCACGAUUAGCUAGUAGGUGAGGUAACGGCUCACCUAGGCUACGAUCGUUAGGGGGCCUGAGAGGGUUAUCCCCCACACUGGUACUGAGACACGGACCAGACUCCUACGGGAGGCAGCAGUGAGGAAUAUUGCGCAAUGGAGGCAACUCUGACGCAGCCAUGCCGCGUGCAGGAAGAAGGCGCUACGCGUUGUAAACUGCUUUUAACCGGGAGAAACCCUCCGACGUGUCGGAGGUUGACGGUACCGGAGGAAUAAGCACCGGCUAACGUUCGUGCCAGCAGCCG
rnacentral:rRNA from 1 species